rnacentral:rRNA from 1 species
CCUACGGGGGGCAGCAGUGAGGAAUAUUGGUCAAUGGACGAGAGUCUGAACCAGCCAAGUAGCGUGAAGGAUGACUGCCCUAUGGGUUGUAAACUUCUUUUAUAUGGGAAUAAAAUGUUCCACGUGUGGGAUUUUGUAUGUACCAUAUGAAUAAGGAUCGGCUAACUCCGUGCCAGCAGCCGCGGUAAUACGGAGGAUCCGAGCGUUAUCCGGAUUUAUUGGGUUUAACGGGAGCGUAGGUGGAUUGUUAAGUCAGUUGUGAAAGUUUGCGGCUCAACCGUAAAAUUGCAGUUGAAACUGGCAGUCGUGAGUACAGUAGAGGUGGGCGGAAUUCGUGGUGUAGCGGUGAAAUGCUUAGAUAUCACGAAGAACUCCGAUUGCGAAGGCAGCUCACUGGACUGCAACUGACACUGAGGCUCGAAAGUGUGGGUAUCAAACAGGAUUAGAUACCCCAGUAGUC